UAUGUUGGGCCAAGGGAGGCUGAAAAAAAUGGCCUAAGCAUCUUUCUGCAUUUUGUACUCAGGUCCAGUAGCUAUGACAAAGGAAGAAAUUACACCUCAUCAGGAUGAAGUGCUGGAGCCAUACAGGAGAUAUAAAGGCCUUAUAAUUGACACAGUGGAAGAACAACGAAGAAGUGUAAGGCAUUUGUAGAGGAGCCUGGUCUC